GACGAACGCUGGCGGCGUGCUUAACACAUGCAAGUCGAACGGAAAGGCCCCUUCGGGGGUACUCGAGUGGCGAACGGGUGAGUAACACGUGAGUAACCUGCCCUUGACUUCGGGAUAACUUCAGGAAACUGGGGCUAAUACCGGGUAGGAAUCCUUGCUGCAUGGUGGGGGUUGGAAAGCUUCGGCGGUUUUGGAUGGACUCGCGGCUUAUCAGCUUGUUGGUGGGGUAGUGGCUUACCAAGGCUUUGACGGGUAGCCGGCCUGAGAGGGCGACCGGCCACAUUGGGACUGAGAUACGGCCCAGACUCCUACGGGAGGCAGCAGUGGGGAAUAUUGCACAAUGGGCGGAAGCCUGAUGCAGCAACGCCGCGUGCGGGAUGACGGCCUUCGGGUUGUAAACCGCUUUCAGCAGGGGCGAAGCUUGUGGUGACGGUACCUGCAGAAGAAGCACCGGCUAACUACGUG
rnacentral:rRNA from 1 species